CGAUGAUACAGCCAUAAUGGCCUCUGAAGAAUUCCAGAAUAUACUGGACACUACCAUGGCGGCAUCUAUAAAUAAAGCGCUGGCCUCUGCCAUGGGGGCUAUGUCCGCUUCAUUCUCCCAAACUCUCACGCAAGCGCUCUCCCAAACCCAUAGCGCACACAUGGCUACCUCUGUGGUGCAUACCCCACCCGCCACUGCGGACACUGUACCCCGCAAGGCAAAAAAUAAAACAAAGC